CCUACGGGUGGCAGCAGUGAGGAAUAUUGGUCAAUGGACGAGAGUCUGAACCAGCCAAGUAGCGUGAAGGAUGACUGCCCUAUGGGUUGUAAACUUCUUUUGUAUGGGAGUAAAAUGUUCCACGUGUGGGCUUUUGUAUGUACCAUAUGAAUAAGGAUCGGAUAACUUCGUGCCAGCAGCCGCGGUAAUACGGAGGAUCCGAGCGUUAUGCGGAUUUAUUGGGUUUAACGGGAGCGUAGGUGGAUUGUUAAGUCAGUUGUGAAAGUUUGCGGCUCAACCGUAAAAUUGCAGUUGAAACUGGCAGUCUUGAGUACAGUAGAGGUGGGCGGAAUUCGUGGUGUAGCGGUGAAAUGCUUAGAUAUCACGAAGAACUCCGAUUGCGAAGGCAGCUCACUGGACUGCAACUGACACUGAGGCUCGAAAGUGUGGGUAUCAAACAGGAUUAGAUACCCUUGUAGUC
rnacentral:rRNA from 1 species